AACGAACGCUGGCGGCAUGCCUAACACAUGCAAGUCGAACGAGACCUUCGGGUCUAGUGGCGCACGGGUGCGUAACGCGUGGGAAUCUGCCCUUGGGUUCGGAAUAACAGCGAGAAAUUGCUGCUAAUACCGGAUGAUGACGUAAGUCCAAAGAUUUAUCGCCCAAGGAUGAGCCCGCGUAGGAUUAGCUAGUUGGUGAGGUAAAGGCUCACCAAGGCGACGAUCCUUAGCUGGUCUGAGAGGAUGAUCAGCCACACUGGGACUGAGACACGGCCCAGACUCCUACGGGAGGCAGCAGUGGGGAAUAUUGGACAAUGGGCGAAAGCCUGAUCCAGCCAUGCCGCGUGCAGGAAGAAGGCCUUCUGGGUUGUAAACUGCUUUUGCCGGGGGAUAAAAGAUCCAUGCGUGGAGAAUUGAAGGUACCCGGUGAAUAAGCCACGGCUAACUACGUGCCAGCAGCCGCGGUAAU
rnacentral:rRNA from 1 species